UACGAAGGGUGCAAGCGUUACUCGGAAUUACUGGGCGUAAAGCGUGCGUAGGUGGUUUGUUAAGUCUGAUGUGAAAGCCCUGGGCUCAACCUGGGAAUGGCAUUGGAUACUGGCGAGCUAGAGUGCGGUAGAGGGUAGUGGAACUCCCGGUGUAGCAGUGAAAUGCGUAGAGAUCGGGAGGAACAUCUGUGGCGAAGGCGACUACCUGGACCAGCACUGACACUGAGGCACGAAAGCGUGGGGAGCAAACAGG
rnacentral:rRNA from 1 species